UGAGCUGUCUGCUGCUGUUGAUUUGAUUUAUUGAAAUUUCUCAUCUUAGCUCAAUUGGUGCACUGAAUUUUAAAUGGAGCAACUUAUUUCUGCAAAGGAUUGGCGUGCAAGGGUUCCCCGGUCACAAAUCACGACACGAAAACGUGCAUCGAAUGCAGACGACGUCCCGAAAGUCUACACAUGGGGAUGUAAAGGAAUUACCCAUUCAUGUCAACAAACAACCCGUUUCGUUCGACCGGAACAAGAAUUAAAGCAACUAGCCCGAUGUCGUUCAAGAUUUCCAUCGUGGCCCCAAGAAUAACUCGUCGGCUUGGAUU